UACGGGGGGGUAAGCGUUGUUCGGAAUUACUGGGCGUAAAGGGCGCGUAGGCGGCGCGAGCAGUCGAUCGUGAAGUCCGGAGCUCAACUCCGGAUCGGCGGUCGAUACUCUCGUGCUUGAGCACUGUAGAGGCAGAUGGAAUUCCGGGUGGUAGCGGUGGAAUGCGUAGAGAUCCGGAAGAACACCGGUGGCGAAGGCGGUCUGCUGGGCAGUUGCUGACGCUGAUGCGCGACAGCGGUGGGAGCAAACGACGG
rnacentral:rRNA from 1 species